CGAACGCUGGCGGCGUGCUUAACACAUGCAAGUCGAACGUAAAGGCCCUGCUUUUGUGGGGUGCUCGAGUGGCGAACGGGUGAGUAACACGUGAGUAACCUGCCCUUGACUUUGGGAUAACUUCAGGAAACUGGGGCUAAUACCGGAUAGGAGCUCCUGCUGCAUGGUGGGGGUUGGAAAGUUUCGGCGGUUGGGGAUGGACUCGCGGCUUAUCAGCUUGUUGGUGGGGUAGUGGCUUACCAAGGCUUUGACGGGUAGCCGGCCUGAGAGGGUGACCGGCCACAUUGGGACUGAGAUACGGCCCAGACUCCUACGGGAGGCAGCAGUGGGGAAUAUUGCACAAUGGGCGGAAGCCUGAUGCAGCAACGCCGCGUGCGGGAUGACGGCCUUCGGGUUGUAAACCGCUUUCGCCUGUGACGAAGCGUGAGUGACGGUAAUGGGUAAAGAAGCACCGGCUAACUACGUG
rnacentral:rRNA from 1 species